CCUAGGGCGGCAGCAGUGGGGAAUAUUGGGCAAUGGGCGCAAGCCUGACCCAGCAACGCCGCGUGAAGGAAGAAGGCUUUCGGGUUGUAAACUUCUUUUCUGAGGGACGAAGAAAGUGACGGUACCUCAGGAAUAAGCCACGGCUAACUACGUGCCAGCAGCCGCGGUAAUACGUAGGUGGCAAGCGUUAUCCGGAUUUAUUGGGUGUAAAGGGCGGGUAGGCGGGAAAGCAAGUCAGAUGUGAAACUGCAGGGCUCAACCCUGAGCCUGCAUUUGAAACUGUGUUUCUUGAGUGCUGGAGAGGUAAUCGGAAUUCGGGGUGUAGCGGUGAAAUGCGUAGAUAUACGGAGGAACACCAGUGGCGAAGGCGGAUUGCUGGACAGUAACUGACGCUGAGGCGCGAAAGCGUGGGGAGCAAACAGGAUUAGAUACCCGUGUAGUC
rnacentral:rRNA from 1 species